rnacentral:rRNA from 1 species
GACGAACGCUGGCGGCGUGCUUAACACAUGCAAGUCGAACGAAACGGCCCGGCUUUUGUGGGGUGCUCGAGUGGCGAACGGGGGAGUAACACGUGGGUAAGCUGCCCUUGCCUUUGGGAUAACUUCAUAAAGCUGGAGCUCAUACCAGCUAGGAGCUCUUGCUGCUUGGUGGGGGUUGGUAGGUUUCGGCGGUUGGGGAUGGACUAGCGGCUUAUCAGCUUGUUGGUGGGGUAGUGGCUUACCAUGGCUAUGACGCGUAGCCGGGCUGAGAGGGUGACCGGCCACACUGCGAUUGAGAUGCGACCCAGACUACAACGGGACGCAGCAGUGCAGAAUAGUGCAUAGGGGGCGGAAGCCUGAUGCAGCAACGCCGCGUGCGGGAUGACGUCCUGCCGUUAGUAAUGCAAUGCCGCCUUUCACGAAGCGUGAGUGACGGUAAUGGGUAAAGAAGCACCGGCUAACUACGUG